rnacentral:rRNA from 1 species
UACGUAGGUGGCGAGCGUUGUCCGGAUUUAUUGGGUUUAAAGGGUGCGUAGGCGGCCCUAUAAGUCAGUGGUGAAAUAUCGCAGCUUAACUGUGAGGGUGCCAUUGAUACUGUAGGGCUUGAGUGAAUUUGAGGUAGGCGGAAUUGAUGGUGUAGCGGUGAAAUGCUUAGAUAUCGUCAAGAACACCGAUAGUGAAGACAGCUUACCAAGCUUCAACUGACGCUGAGGCACGAAAGUGUGGGGAUCAAACAGG